UGGGGAAUUUUGGACAAUGGGCGAAAGCCUGAUCCAGCAAUGCCGCGUGUGUGAAGAAGGCCUUCGGGUUGUAAAGCACUUUUGUCCGGAAAGAAAUCCUUGGCUCUAAUACAGUCGGGGGAUGACGGUACCGGAAGAAUAAGCACCGGCUAACUACGUGCCAGCAGCCGCGGUAAUACGUAGGGUGCAAGCGUUAAUCGGAAUUACUGGGCGUAAAGCGUGCGCAGGCGGUUUGCUAAGACCGAUGUGAAAUCCCCGGGCUCAACCUGGGAACUGCAUUGGUGACUGGCAGGCUAGAGUAUGGCAGAGGGGGGUAGAAUUCCACGUGUAGCAGUGAAAUGCGUAGAGAUGUGGAGGAAUACCGAUGGCGAAGGCAGCCCCCUGGGCCAAUACUGACGCUCAUGCACGAAAGCGUGGGGGAGCAAAACAGGAUUAGAUACCCUGGUAGUCCACGCCCUAAACGAUGUCAACUAGUUGUUGGGGAUUCAUUUCCUUAGUAACGUAGCUAACGCGUGAAGUUGACCGCCUGGGGAGUACGGUCGCAAGAUUAAAACUUAAAUGAAUUGACGGGGUCAUAGCUGUUUCCUU
rnacentral:rRNA from 1 species